rnacentral:rRNA from 1 species
GGCUCAGAUUGAACGCUGGCGGCAGGCCUAACACAUGCAAGUCGAACGGUAACAGGAAGCAGCUUGCUGCUUUGCUGACGAGUGGCGGACGGGUGAGUAAUGUCUGGGAAACUGCCUGAUGGAGGGGGAUAACUACUGGAAACGGUGGCUAAUACCGCAUAACGUCGCAAGACCAAAGAGGGGGACCUUCGGGCCUCUUGCCAUCAGAUGUGCCCAGAUGGGAUUAGCUUGUUGGUGAGGUAACGGCUCACCAAGGCGACGAUCCCUAGCUGGUCUGAGAGGAUGACCAGCCACACUGGAACUGAGACACGGUCCAGACUCCUACGGGAGGCAGCAGUGGGGAAUAUUGCACAAUGGGCGCAAGCCUGAUGCAGCCAUGCCGCGUGUAUGAAGAAGGCCUUCGGGUUGUAAAGUACUUUCAGCGGGGAGGAAGGUGUUGCGGUUAAUAACCGCAGCAAUUGACGUUACCCGCAGAAGAAGCACCGGCUAACUCCGUGCCAGCAGCCGCGGUAAUACGGAGGGUGCAAGCGUUAAUCGGAAUUACUGGGCGUAAAGCGCACGCAGGCGGUCUGUCAAGUCGGAUGUGAAAUCCCCGGGCUCAACCUGGGAACUGCAUUCGAAACUGGCAGGCUUGAGUCUUGUAGAGGGGGGUAGAAUUCCAGGUGUAGCGGUGAAAUGCGUAGAGAUCUGGAGGAAUACCGGUGGCGAAGGCGGCCCCCUGGACAAAGACUGACGCUCAGGUGCGAAAGCGUGGGGAGCAAACAGGAUUAGAUACCCUGGUAGUCCACGCCGUAAACGAUGUCUACUUGGAGGUUGUGCCCUUGAGGCGUGGCUUCCGGAGCUAACGCGUUAAGUAGACCGCCUGGGGAGUACGGCCGCAAGGUUAAAACUCAAAUGAAUUGACGGGGGCCCGCACAAGCGGUGGAGCAUGUGGUUUAAUUCGAUGCAACGCGAAGAACCUUACCUGGUCUUGACAUCCACAGAAGAAUCCAGAGAUGGAUUUGUGCCUUCGGGAACUGUGAGACAGGUGCUGCAUGGCUGUCGUCAGCUCGUGUUGUGAAAUGUUGGGUUAAGUCCCGCAACGAGCGCAACCCUUAUCCUUUGUUGCCAGCGAUUAGGUCGGGAACUCAAAGGAGACUGCCAGUGAUAAACUGGAGGAAGGUGGGGAUGACGUCAAGUCAUCAUGGCCCUUACGACCAGGGCUACACACGUGCUACAAUGGCGCAUACAAAGAGAAGCGACCUCGCGAGAGCAAGCGGACCUCAUAAAGUGCGUCGUAGUCCGGAUUGGAGUCUGCAACUCGACUCCAUGAAGUCGGAAUCGCUAGUAAUCGUGGAUCAGAAUGCCACGGUGAAUACGUUCCCGGGCCUUGUACACACCGCCCGUCACACCAUGGGAGUGGGUUGCAAAAGAAGUAGGUAGCUUAACCUUCGGGAGGGCGCUUACCACUUUGUGAUUCAUGACUGGGGUGAAGUCGUAACAAGGU